GGGGUGAUUAGCUCAGCUGGGAGAGCACCUCCCUUACAAGGAGGGGGUCGGCGGUUCGAUCCCGUCAUCACCCNN
rnacentral:tRNA from 1 species